UAGCUACAGGCUUAACACAUGCAAGUCCAUGGGCAGCAUGGUCUUAGCUUGCUAAGGCCGAUGGCGACCGGCGCACGGGUGAGUAACACGUAUCCAACCUGCCGUCUACUCUUGGACAGCCUUCUGAAAGGAAGAUUAAUACAAGAUGGCAUCAUGAGUCCACAUGUUCACAUGAUUAAAGGUAUUCCGGUAGACGAUGGGGAUGCGUUCCAUUAGAUAGUAGGCGGGGUAACGGCCCACCUAGUCUUCGAUGGAUAGGGGUUCUGAGAGGAAGGUCCCCCACAUUGGAACUGAGACACGGUCCAAACUCCUACGGGAGGCAGCAGUGAGGAAUAUUGGUCAAUGGGCGAGAGCCUGAACCAGCCAAGUAGCGUGAAGGAUGACUGCCCUAUGGGUUGUAAACUUCUUUUAUAAAGGAAUAAAGUCGGGUAUGCAUACCCGUUUGCAUGUACUUUAUGAAUAAGGAUCGGCUAACUCCGUGCCAGCAGCCGCGGUAAUACGGAGGAUCCGAGCGUUAUCCGGAUUUAUUGGGUUUAAAGGGAGCGUAGAUGGAUGUUUAAGUCAGUUGUGAAAGUUUACGGCUCAACCGUAAAAUUGCAGUUGAUACUGGAUAUCUUGAGUGCAGUUGAGGCAGGCGGAAUUCGUGGUGUAGCGGUGAAAUGCUUAGAUAUCACGAAGAACUCCGAUUGCGAAGGCAGCCUGCUAAGCUGCAACUGACAUUGAGGCUCGAAAGUGUGGGUAUCAAACAGGAUUAGAUACCCUGGUAGUCCACACGGUAAACGAUGAAUACUCGCUGUUUGCGAUAUACUGCAAGCGGCCAAGCGAAAGCGUUAAGUAUUCCACCUGGGGAGUACGCCGGCAACGGUGAAACUCAAAGGAAUUGACGGGGGCCCGCACAAGCGGAGGAACAUGUGGUUUAAUUCGAUGAUACGCGAGGAACCUUACCCGGGCUUAAAUUGCAGAUGAAUUACGGUGAAAGCCGUAAGCCGCAAGGCAUCUGUGAAGGUGCUGCAUGGUUGUCGUCAGCUCGUGCCGUGAGGUGUCGGCUUAAGUGCCGUAACGAGCGCAACCCUUGUUGUCAGUUACUAACAGGUUCUGCUGAGGACUCUGACAAGACUGCCAUCGUAAGAUGUGAGGAAGGUGGGGAUGACGUCAAAUCAGCACGGCCCUUACGUCCGGGGCUACACACGUGUUACAAUGGGGGGUACAGAGGGCCGCUACCACGCGAGUGGAUGCCAAUCCCAAAAACCUCUCUCAGUUCGGACUGGAGUCUGCAACCCGACUCCACGAAGCUGGAUUCGCUAGUAAUCGCGCAUCAGCCACGGCGCGGUGAAUACGUUCCCGGGCCUUGCACACACCGCCCGUCAAGCCAUGGGAGCCGGGGGUACCUGAAGUGCGUAACCGCGAGGAGCGCCCUAGGGUAAAACUGU
rnacentral:rRNA from 1 species